rnacentral:rRNA from 1 species
UCCCCCUGGUCUUGUGGGUGCGUCUUGUUUCCUKGGUGGGUUCGCCCACCACUAGGACAAACAUAAACCUUUUGUAAUUGCAAUCAGCGUCAGUAACAAAUUAAUAAUUACAACUUUCAACAACGGAUCUCUUGGUUCUGGCAUCGAUGAAGAACGCAGCGAAAUGCGAUAAGUAGUGUGAAUUGCAGAAUUCAGUGAAUCAUCGAAUCUUUGAACGCACAUUGCGCCCUUUGGUAUUCCAAAGGGCAUGCCUGUUCGAGCGUCAUUUGUACCCUCAAGCUUUGCUUGGUGUUGGGCGUCUUGUCUCUAGCUUUGCUGGAGACUCGCCUUAAAGUAAUUGGCAGCCGGCCUACUGGUUUCGGAGCGCAGCACAAGUCGCACUCUCUAUCAGCAAAGGUCUAGCAUCCAUUAAGCCUUUUUUUCAACUUUUGACCUCGGAUCAGGUAGGGAUACCCGCUGAACUUAAGCAUAUCAAUAAGCCGGAGGAAAGAAUCAUUACAAAAAUAUCAAGGGGGGCUGGAAACCUCUUGGGGUUUCAGCCUUGGCUAAAAAUAUUCACCCUUCUCUCUUUGCGUUACUUCGUGGUUUCCCUGGGUGGGUUCCACCA